rnacentral:lncRNA from 1 species
UUACUUCAAAGAAGAUGCGUGCGUUGAAGUGGCUGGUACUUGAGGCACUUUGAAUUAAUAGCCAGGAAUAUUUGUGGCAAGCUGGUGACUCAGAUUAUCAUCGCAGGUAUAUUACAUAUCUGGGUUAUUUGCUCUUCUUCCUACAUGGCAUAUAAGAGUGAAAUUAUUUGCAAUGCUUCUUGCUAACUAAGCAACAUGGCAGCAAGUGUAUGAAAACUACUUGCAGUAUCUUUUCCUUAGCACUGUGAGGGAUUUUCAGAAAAGCCUCUGCUGAUGGGUGAACAGAAAUGCCGUUGACAGACAUUCCCAAAUGCCAAACCACGUAGAUGUCCUGAGCGACACCAACCAACUUUGUCACAGUCAGGCCCAAAUGAUGUAACUUUCUAUUGUCAUUUCUACUGCAUCAGUUGGUUUACUUUCCAGAUCAAUAGGGUUGCCUCUCAACGGAGGCACAUUUCUUGCCCUUUUUAUCUGUUCAAUUAUUGAUUUGGGAACGCAUUUUUCUGUUGUUUUUGCGCAUUUAACUUAAAGCAGCAGGAUUGCCUGGAGAGCCUGCCUCUUGUCACGCUUUCUACUCUUUGUUUUCUCACAUAAUCAUAGUAGCGUGGAAGCGUUUCGGAGACUGUUCUUUAAGCUAAGCUCACGUGUGGAUAUUAUGGCUGAUAUGAUCGAUUGAACUCGGAAAAAGGAACCUGUACAGCAAAAGGAUUGACUCAAAGUUCUGCAUAUGUAACAAGAGGAUUAACUCAGCUGUCUCUAUUGUCCAUUUCCUUGUCUGCAAAAGCAGGUCCACGGGCUUAGCCACUGUACCAAAGCCACUUUAACGAUGAUGGUUCUCAUUUCAAUUUUUGACACUGUUACUAAAACCGCGUGCAAGUGCAGAAGGCUUCACUUUCAAAAGAAGCUUUAUGAUUUUUUCGCUGGAAAUCCAGUAAGUUUUUGUCGUGAGCAUGGUGUAUCCAGCUACUAGAUCGAGAUGAGUAUGAGCAUUCUUUGCCCUGAGUUGUAAAUUACAUUGACUCUUCUCAUAUCAAUCCUUGUCCCAUUUAUAUAUCAAUAUCAAGUAAAAGGCCUUGAUAUCUUCAACCUUUGCAAGAAUUCAUAGUGCAAUCUUUAAGAGCACAUCAUUUACAAAAUAGCUUUAGGCUCUAGGCCAUCAACAAAGGAAUAAAACAAACAUGAGAACAUUAUUGUGAGGGCACAGCCAAACGGCUCACGCUACGGAGUUACAAACACAAUGAAUUGCUCAAUGCAAGCAAGAAAUGCAUACGAGUGUUCUCUUCCCAAGUGAAAGUGCCUUGCAUGAGAGGAUAGUAGUUAUCAUAGAGCACAUGCAUACGCAAGGAAUGUUUUACCAUAUAAUUGCAUUAAUUGAAUUUCACAAUCUUGAGGCAAUUGAUACUAAUGUGACAUCUGGAUCCUCACUGAGUAAAACCAAGCACUCUUACGAUACUAGGCCAUCAUCACCGUAUCAUGACACCAUCACACCAAUCCACCACAUCACCCAGCCACCACCAUCGCGACACCACUACAACGCACGCCGGAUUACCCUUUGGACCCUAGCCACUUCUUCUUAAAAUUUGCCAAAGUGGAUUUGUUUGAGCCCAAGAGGGAAUCACGCCCAUGAAGAGGUAAAAGGCCAAAUUGAUCAGCCCAAAACCAGCUGUUGACUUGGUGAAUUGAAAUUCACCACCAUCAACCACGUUAAACCUCAAAGUUGCUAGCGGCUUCUCAUACCAAACUUGGCAAUUAACCAAAGAAGGUUAAGCCAAAGCAAGCCAUGUACUUGCAAUUUUGGAAAGCUGUCAAGAAGAUGCAUGAGGAUUUCCACCUAAAGUCCACAUUCAACCCCACGUGGCGCCUCCCUAGGCAGUCACGGUAAAGAAUGUUGACCAAGGGAGACUUCCAAAGGCAGCCGAAAGUAGGUAUAGAUCCAGCCUUUCACCCAUUUCGUUGGAGCUAGAGCAAAACCCUCACCAAUUUUCUUCUUCUUCGUUCCCCUACCAAAGCAUCAUAGCCCCUCAUUUUGUUGUGCCACGACCACGAACAGCCCUCAUUCUGCCAACUUGACAUCAUACAGCUGGUGUCAUUCGCCAUCCCGCCAUCUUAGUUGCUGUCGACGAGCAUUGAGGCAAGUAGAAGUCCUAUUCUUAUAUAUUACGUGGGACUGCCAUUUCCUGGAUUUUCAUCAUACGAAUCAACAAAAUUGGGCUCGCAUGCCUGGAGUUGUUGUCGUCAUGAUUUAGUUCAUGUUGCUUAAGUUAAGUUCGAUCUUGGCUAGUAUAGUUGUGUACCACGAUGACCAUUGGCACAGUAGGCAUUGGUUUUGGUUUGUGAGGCUGCAAGACGCAACGACUGUUGGCAAAGUCAGCGUUGGCCUUCACUAGGUCAUGAUGCCACAGGUCAAUCCAGUUUAGGUUCGAGUCCUCUCCGGACUCGAGGAGGUCAGCCUCAACGUGGUAUGGGAUUAGUCAAAGCUAUGGUUGAUUUGGUGAGCUGUGUGUGCCCAUGUGAGAUUCAAGUCGCAUUAGACGUGUACCCGUUUGUGCUAGAUUAACUUUGCAUGGUUUUGACUGGUGUUUUGUUUGUCAGAAAUUCUUGGAUGAUUCAAUGAAACUCGGGAUAGUGCGGAUUUGGAUAGGUUUGGUGGUUGUAGGCUUAGGCUCAUUGAGGGGAGGACAAGGAGAGAACUUUUUUUCCUAAAGGAGUUGAUGGUCGGUCUAGAUAUGCUUAGAUGAUUUCAAAUGGAAUUAUUAAAUUGUUGCACCAUGGAUGCCGUUGAUCCUCAUGAUGACAAUGCCCUAGGUGUCGGGAUGCCUGAGGUGGUGUAACGCGAUAUCCUCUGAAUGCCUUGGGGAUGUAAUAAGGUCCCUUGGAGGUCUUCACGAUGCCAAGUUGGGUGCGAGAUGCCUGGAAAGGUGUAACAUGGUACCCUCCGGAUGUCCAAGGGAUGUAACAAGGGCCCCCAGAGGUCCUUGCGAUGUCAGUUAGGGUGCGAGAUGCCUGGAAGGGUGUAACACGGUUCCCUUCGAAAGAUGGUGGUAGCUGAACCUAGAUAAAAUAUAGUUAUUGAAGUUCUCAAAUUUCCAUUUACUUCCCGGUAUACCGUUUCCGUGAAUUUCUUUUAGAACCGCUAAUACAUUAAGUUGAGAAAAGUUCACAAGCAAGUUGAAUUAUUUUGAUAUCGUAUAUUUUAUAUCUAGGAUUCCGUUGAAUGGGUAAUGGUAGAUUCACGUGGUAUAGUCUAGCAGGCUUUUGCUUGUUGAGUGUUGUACUCGCCCUUGGUGGAUUAUCAUUUUUUUAGACUAUGCUACCUAUGUCCUCCAUGAUCCUCUAGGGUGUCCCGAUAGAUCUCACGUGGAAUCAAACAGAGCAUAACAACCCUGACUUUCCCGAGGUCACUUUCAUUUGGAUCAUCGCCAUCCUGACAGUCAAUGUUGGUCCCCCAUCAGACCUAGUGUUGAUAGGGUUUGUUGCCAUCUAUGCUAGGAUCAGUGGGAGUGCGGUGGGGCCACUCACAACCCCGGACGGCAAUGAUGAUGGAGACAUUAGGGUCGAGUAGGAUGAGGGCCCGGAGGAUGACGGUGGCAUUUUAGGCGAGACCAGCACUUGUUAUGUUGGCAGCCGUGUAGAGAGACAAUAGGGUGGUUGGAGUAGUAUUUUGGAUGGAAUUUUGGAUAUAGCUUGGAGAAGGAACGUUUUGAUCCCUAGUGUAUUGACCUAGGUCGCCUAUAAUAUAUAAAUAAAGAAAUGAAAGUGUUUGGAAAAAAAGUUCUCUCCUUGUCUUGCCCUCAAUGAGCCUAAGCCUACAACUACCAAACCUGUCCAAAUCCACACUAUCCUGAAUCGACUUGGUUUCACUGAAUCAUCCAAGGAAUGCUGAUGCAUAAAACACUAGUCAAAACAUGCAAAGUUAAUCUAGCACAAACGGGUACACAUCUAAUGCGAUUUGAAACUCACAUGGCCACACACAGCUCAUCAAAUCGACCAUGGCUUUGACUAAUCCCGUAUCACGUCAAGAUUGACCUCCUCGAGUCCGGAGAGGACUCGCACCUAAACCAGAUUGACUUGUGACAUCAUGACCUAGCGAAGGACGAUGCCAACUUUGUUGAUGGUCGUUUCGGCUUGCAGCCUCACAAAUCAAAACCAAUGCCUAUUGUGCCAAUGGUCGUCAAGGUACAUGACUAUACUAGCCAAGAUCGAACUUAACUUAAGCGACAUGAACUAAGCCAUGACAACAACAACAACUCCACGGAUGCAACCCCAAUUUUGAUGAUUCGUAUAACGAAAAUCCAAGGAAUGGCAGCCCCACGUAAUAUAGAAGAAUAGGACUUCUACUUGCCUCAAUGCUCGUCGACAGCUGCUAAGAUGGUGGGACGGCGAAUGACACGAGCUGUAUGAUGUCAAGCUGGCAGAAUGAGGGCUGUUCGUGGUCGUGGCGCAAUGAAAUGAGAGGCUAUGAUGCUCUGGUUGGGGAACGAAGAAGAAGAAAAUUGGUGAGGGUUUUGCUCCAGCUCCAACAAAAUGGGUGAAGGGCUGGUUUUAUACCCACUUUCUGCCGCCUUUGGAAGUCUCCCUUGGUCAACAUUCCUUACCGUGAUUGCCUAAGGAGGAGGCACGUGGACUUAGGUGGAAAUCCGCAUGCAUCUUGACAGCUUGCCAAAAUUGCAAGUACAUGGCUUGCUUUGGCUUAACCUUCUUUGGUUAAUUGCAAGUACGCCUUCUGGCUUGCUUUGUCCUUGUUUUGACUAGCGGACGGACCGAGUCUUAAUCGAAAGCAUUUUAGCUAGUGCUGCUGCCUUCCUCCCCUGCCUUGGAGAGAUGAUGAUGACCAUCAUCAUCGUUCGUAAAGCAACCUGCAUCCGUGAUGGAGAAAUCUCUUGAUUCAAUCAUCGCGGUUUGGUUCGCAGGAUAAGGAUUGAAGUGGUGGAGUGAUGAUUCCAGUAAGGAAAAUUGUCCAAAGAGCGUUGAAUACGCUUGCCAAUUCAAUUCUCGACAUUUAGAUUUUACUAAUAGAGUAUGGACCUUUUCACGUUUUGCCAAUUGAGUCAAUUUAAUCAAUCAAUUUUGGUAAAAAAAUUACUAAAAUGGACUCUAAUCGUAUUACAUAGCAUGCCCGGCAUAGACGUGGACAAUUAUUUUAUAAUAUUUAAACAUAUUUCGAUUUUUAUUUUCUCUUUUUAUUCUUCUUCUUCUUUUCAAUUUUUUUUUUUUUUUUGGUAAGGAUCUUCUUUUCAUUUUCUUCUUUCUUUUUCUCCUCUUCCCUCCGCUAACCAAUACUGAGCCUUAAGUGAGAACCGCUCAGGCCAAGGCUGGGAGGGUCACCCUUGCUUGGGCGAACGUGGACUGCCCUCAUGCCCAAGCCUAGGCUGGUGAGGGUCAUCCCUUCUUGGGCAGGCAUAAGCCACCCCCGCCUGAUUUGGCAAGGGUGGCUUGAGCGUCCCUCGUGCGAGGAUGGCGAGGGCAACCCUUACUUGAGACUAGCAACCUUCAUCGGCCAUUGACGAGGCCUUGUGGAGGGAAAAAGGAAAAAGAAAAGAAGGAAAAGAGGAGAAAAAAUUAAAAGGAAUUAAAAAUUAAUAUUAAAAAUUGUCAACAUCGAAUGACCAAUCUUCAUUUUAGCCAGCAACCUCCAUCGGCCAUUGACGAGGCAUCCCUUAUUUCACGUUUGGCGUGAUCACAUCAUCAGCGAAUACAGGCGUCCCGAUGAGAGAAGCCAUUCUUGGAACAAAAAGAAAAUAAAUAAUGAGAGCAACCAUGAUUGGCAAUCCUUGCCCUGGGGGAAGGAGUGGACAUUACUUUCCUUCCAAAAGACCCCAUGUUUGAUUUCCUUUUUUCUUUUUGUCGGAAAUUUCCUUUCAAGCGUUCUUUUUUUUUUUUUUUUUUUGGUUUUGUCUCUCAUACUUCUUUUCGGGGGUACAUUUGGUAGUUGACUUCAACCCGUUUUGAAUUCCCACAUUGUUUAUUUUUCUUAUCAGAAUAGAACAUAAAAUUAAAAAUAUCAAUUCCAUUAACUAUAAUGGCUUGCUCAAAUGAUUUAGGACACAAGAUUAGGAUUCAAAUCAUCCCACUUGCACAUUUUUUUGAAUUUACUUCCGAGACUAUAGACUUGUGUGUCGUGGUAAAUACCUGGUGCGUGUGGAACAAUGAAUUGUCAUAUCCCGUAGGGAUAAGUUAGGUACUCAAUAAUAUCAAACAUUCUAUUGACAUUCAUUCCGUUUUCAUUUCCUUUGUGCUCUUUCCCAAAUGUGUCAUACUAAGGAUGGGGAGGGGGGCACACUCCCCAUCGAUGGGUCUGAGCUUAUCGAUAAGAUCUGUUUAGAUCCCCUUUAAGUGUCACUAGAUCUAUGCAAGUCCUUAAAAUGCUUCAUCCUAGUUCAAUUUGGACCUUGAGACUUAAAGAAUGUAAAUCACCUAGAAGGUAAUCCCUUCUUUUGAAGAAGACAAACGUGCAGAGGGGAACUUGGCGAUAGUUGGACAAGUAGGCACCAUCAUGUUAAAAUAAGGAAUACAAUUUUAUCAACCCAUUUGGAUUACCAGGCAAGUAGGGUGGCCUCAACCAGGAGCUUUUAGGCUCUUGCUGCUCGGUGAGAUUAUCGUGUAACCUGACACAAAGGACACAAGUAAUACCCUUGGUUUUGGAACAUUUCAUUGACAUCCAAGGAAGAGAAAUACCAAUUAUUUUUCAUUCUAUUUUCAAUUCAUUUGUGUUCUUUCCCAAAUAUGUUGUACUAAGGAUGGGGGAGGGGCGUGGCCAUCCAACCAACAGGGCACAUUCCCAAUCAAUCGGUCCAAGGGUAUCGAUGAAUCUGUUUAGAUCCUCUUCAAGGGUCAUUAUAAUUGCCAAUAAGAAAAAAAAAAUCCGCAAAAAGGGCCCAAAAUUUAAGAUAGGCUAUGAAGGUGCAGCCUCGUGUAAAAAGCCCAUAGCCAGCAACGCCCGUGUUGGAUGUCUUCUUUGUGGUGCAGAAAACAAAGCCGAGGAUAGCGAGACCCGCUUCUACAGGACAGCUAACGGAGAAGGCUGAUAGUCGCAGGUUGUGGUUGAGAGCCGUUGAUGUGGACAUCGAGCUAUAUCGAGGAGGAGGUGUUAGGGACCCAUUGUCUAUUCCUACUGAUUCGAUUACUCAAGCGCGGGCCAAACAAUUCAAGCAAGCUGUUGGCGUCAUGGUUUGUGAUCUUUAGUGUGAAAAUGACCUUGAAUCAAAUCUUAAAGAAUCUUUGAAAUCUUGAUGUAAUUUAAUUAUCUGGUCACCAAAUAAUUGACCAAGUCAAUUUAUAUAUAUUCUUGUUUAAGAAUAUUCUAGAAUAGGAAUAUUCUAGAAUAUGACGCAUUAUAUUUUUAGGGUUUGUGUGGCAGCCUAUAUAAAGGAUUUGCUAAAUUUCUUUGGGACGGAGAUAUUUUUAUUUUUGAGGAAAGAAUUGAGAGGUUCUCUUUUACUGUUCUUUUGAGGACUUGACCUAAUCAAGAUUCUCUUGUGGCGGUCAAUUCGACUUAUUGAGCGAGAUAGCGAAUUCUUUCGCUCGUGGCGUCUAUAACGUUGGUUGGUUGACACGUGUUCGUCAACAUGUCACGUUCAUGCCGAGGUUGUCAAUCACAGGUUUGAUUGGAGGUCGAGGUUUGCAAUUCGCACUAUCUGGGCCUUCGUAGAACGAUCCUUCCGCAACGAUUCACAUCAGCCGUGGACUGGAUCAGCAGCGAUAGAGAACCGUGAUGGAUGGCAAGACCAUUUGGGGAGGAUGCGAAGGGGAGAGCAUGGGGCGGCGAGGCUGCUCUCAAGGUAAUGGUAGAAGGAGCCGACGGCGGGCCGUUGCAAAGGGAUGAGAUGGCAAAUAUGGCAUAGGAGAGAAGACACCCAUUAGGAACAAAGGUGGAGAUUCGACGGUACAAGCAUCACGUGCCAGAGAAGAGAUGAUGAAGGAAAACAUUUGCUUGGCCCUUUUCAAUAUUGACCUGAAUUCAGGAAGUUUAUCGGGAGCUAUAUAAGGAAUUUCAGUUCAUAUCUAAUGCAAAUUAAAAGUUAGUGCAUAUCUUUCAUAGAUUCCGGAUCAAUCAAGUGAGAAUGAUCAACCGAGAUUUUGUAGGAUGAUUUAUAAAGGACAUUAAAAUUACUCAGUCGGUCUAGGGAGAGAAUGAACACAAUAGCAUGUGAUUCAUACCGCAUGUGCCAUUUUGACUUAAAGACUAGUGUGAAUUAUAUAUGUUAAAUUCAAACAUAAUGUGAUCCUUUGUCGAAGACCUUUGGGAGAUAUUAAUGCCUCAUAUAAUAUCCUUAGGACUUUCUACUACAUUUCAAAAUCUUGAUCCAGUUAUCUAUACAUUUUAUAUGAUAAAUUUAAGACUUUCUACUACAUUUCAAAAUUUCGAUCCAAUGACCAAAACAUCUGAAAAUCUCAUAUGAUAUCUGCAUAGGCUUAUUUAAUAUAUAAGACUUAUUUAUACUUUCCAAUUUAAUGGGUUAAUCAUGGAUCGAAAAUAAAAUCUGCUAUUUGAUCAAUCUUAGGGUCCAUCUUUUUUGCGGCAAAAUCACGUUUUGGAAAUUAUUUUCUUGAAUAUGAUCACUUGUAUUGCAUAAAAAAAUAUAGGAAUGAAAAAUAUUUUUAUUGUUCACAAUGAAGUUUAAGCAUAAAUUAUUAUAGAUAAUCAAAUCAUUAUUUGUUGUCUAAUUAUUUCAAGUGAUAUAACCAAUCAUUUUUAGGAAAAUGUUUUCCAAAUUGUUUAUUUUCAACAAACAAAUCCUUGGUUUUAAAGAAAUUGACCUUAUGUCUUUCUCAAAAAAAGUAUAUUCAAGAUAAUAGUGAUGUUUUGAUGAUCAUAAUUGUUAUGUGUUAAAAAGUCAAUGAAAAAUGUGAGAAGCGAUUUCUCUCUUUUUCCUCUCUUUUUCCUUUCUGCUAUAGGUGCCAGCUACUUUAUUUGAUUACUUUACCGUACAUGUUAAAAAAUGGCAAAUGGAAAGCAUAGGUAUUGGCUAAUAGGAUUAUUCUUGGAUUGUGACAAUGACACCAUUAGCCCCUAAAUUUUUGUUCAAUAUACAAUGUCGAUGUCUUUCCAGAAUUUUUAAUUAGUGCAAUUAGGUUUUCCAACUUUGUCUAGUGUGGGAAGUUAUCCGUCAACUUUAAGUCGAUUCAAAUAAUUAUUUAAAGUAUCUUUUUAAUGUCAAUGUGAUCCUUGUUAUGAAGAAAAGCUUCCGAAUUUAGUAAAGAACCACUCAUUCAAUACGUCAUCUUCUCUCUUACACUUUCAAUAAGAUCACGUUGAGAAUGAAAGGUCAAAUUAAAGCAUCCAUGGUUUCUAUUAAUGGUUUUCAUUAGUCUUCUUGUCUUUUGCAAGACGACUUAAAUCACUAUCGAAAAUAUUUGAGUGAAUGAGAAUGUCUUUUUAAAGUGAUUGUGCAAAUAAAAAGUUUCGUGUUCUUAAUAAAUUGUGUAAAGGAACGCAAAUUGAUAUUUUCAAUUUCAAAUGUGAAUUUCAAGUAUGCAAUGCCAACGUGUUUGUACUUAUUUGCCAACAUUUGAAAGGUCUAGAACAACUACUAUGAAUUUCUCGUGUGGUUUUCAUUUUGAAGCUUCACUUUUUUCUCCAAGGCAAAGUAGAUUUCAAAUGUCAAAAAGAACAUUUCUUCUCUUUGCAAUUGUAAUUUAGGUGUGGAAAGUUUUUUCUCUUUUGCUAACGAUUUUUUGGGGGUUCGCCAGUUAAAAGGUCUUACGGUUGUUGAUUGUGAUUUUUGUUACCCUUCUAGCUUAUACAUUGUGUAGGGCACCAUUGACUGACUCACAGUCUGUCCAACAUGGCUUUGGAUACCCAUUAAUCGGCCGUAGCUGGGAAAUUGCUCUUUCAUCCUUCCUCUCUUGGAUGAUCCUAAGAGUGCUAAAAAACUCGCAUCGAUUCAGUAUAGUUCUUUUUCUUCUUGCUGCGGAUACUAAAGCCUUCCUUGCAAGCAAACCGACUUUAGAGAUGCUUUGAUAAAAUUUUUGGUUGGGCUGCAAUUUGAGAAAUACUAUAGUUAUUGAUGGACAAUUGUAUGCAUGCUCAUACGUACUUAUAGAGCAGGUUGAGAAUUCUGCAAUAUCCCAAAUUUUGGAGGGAUGUCAUGAUUUUUCCACCUUCCAUCGCUCACUCGAUGCCAACCGCCCCUUCUCUCUCUCGCUCCCCAAUUCUACAAGCAGGUGAAUAAUAUAUAUCUAUCUUCAUGGCAAUACUUCUGGACCUUUAAAACGUCAGAACAUGAGUAUAAUCCAAUAGUGAUUUUGGUGUCCACGUCAGCAAAUCUAAUUAACGCUUAUUAAUGCAAGAAUACCGUUAAAUGUUUUAAUAUAAUACAAGCACUUAACUAAUCCAAUGAAAAGUGCAAACAUGACAUUGCAUUUAAUGUAAAGGGUUAAUAUUAGGGGUGAGUAUAGUUCUAGGGUAGAACCUGAAAUUAAAAAAUUAGACCUUUGGGAACAUUAUGUUCUAGUUCCAAGGUAUGCAGAAUAAGUUCUAAAGUAUACAGAGUAGGUUCCAAAUUUCGAAAAUUGAGAAAUCUAUUUCGAUAUAUAGAUUCCAAGUUCCAGAUGGAGUUUUUGUGUUUUUCUUGAUCUCUGUCUUCGUGUAAUUCUACAGUAUUCUGUGGUGUCCAUGAUUGUAUAAUUUGAAACCACUAAUUUGAUCUUCCAUUUUAUAACCGAGACUUUUACUUCGUUAAUGUCUCAUAUUCUUCGUAUGCUUAAAUAUAAGUCGUAGUUAGUGAAUUAUAACAAAAAGUAAUGAUUUUUAAAUAUAAUUAUUCAUUGCAAAUGUUCAAUCAAUAGUACAGGUGGAACUUGGGUUGAAUUUAGAACCGACCGUGAAAUCCAUGUUAGGAUAGGUUUCGGGUUUCAAGAUAUGCAGGAUAGGUUCCGUAUUCUAAAAAAUAAAGAAUAUGUUUCAAUAGGAAGGAAUUUGCAAUGGAGGUAAAUUAUGGAGGAACCGCUCAUUCCUAGUCAAUAUCACAAAAAAUCACAAAUCGUUAUACUUGUGAUAAAUUUACUUUAAAUUAAGUUUUUUAUCACAAAAAACUUCAUAUUUGUACAUUUAUGAUAAAUAAACAUCUCGUUAGUUUUCGUUAAAUAUGAUUAAUAUCAAGAAAAAUCACUCUGUCACGUGUCAUCCAACUCAGUAAUGUGACAAUAAAAUUUAAUAGAAACUAAUGGAAAAUAAAUUUAUCACAGAUGUAUCAAAUUGUGAUUUUUUAUGAUUAAAUAAUUAAUUUGUAGUAAAUUUGUCAUAUAUGUAGUAAUUCAAGGGCUAUUCAUGGUAUUUACCUAACGUUUCAAUAUAGUCAAGCACUUAAAUGAACCAAUAAAAAGUGACUUAAUUACUGUCACCUUGGAAGAGGGGAAAAUUCCAAAUAAGGGUCUAAAGUGCCAUUAUUUUUUCAAAUAAAGGUAUAAAGUGGACUUUAUAAGUCAAAAGAGACCAUGUUAGUCUCAAAGAAUAACUUAACUCAUUGAUAGAUAAGAGCACUGUCAUUCUUUAUUUUUUUUCUAGUUUCUAUUUAAAUUCUUUGUUAGAUAAAAAUAAUUUAAAAAAAAUGCAAGGGGAAAAAGAAACAACUAGGGUUUUGUAGUUCGUUGCUGGUGUCACCCAACCAUAGCCAAGAACGGCCCACAAUGAUAGGGGAUGGCUAGGGCCAAGCUCGGCAAGGGUUGCCAAGGCUCAUAGGCUAUCACCCAGAUUUAAUUGAGGUUGUCACUAAUACGAAGUUACGAACCCUGCUGAUGACGGCUCUUGGCUAGAUUUGAGAGAGGAUUGGUAACUCUCUAUGAGAGAAUUAUCUAGGAGAGCCCCUUGUCUGCAGCCGAUAAGAGUCACUUAUGAUGUCAAGUCACUUAUUUAAAACUAUCAUAAUUUAUUUCAGAUUCAUCAUAAGUCGCUGUGGUGCUUUCAUUUUCCUUCUUCUUCGUGCUCCACCUGGGAUCCCGUCGAGAGGUUUUGCUCGAUCCAGCGAGUCGUCUUCUUCGUGCUUCAGCUGACGAUGAAGCCGACGAGUCUCCUUCGCCCUGCUUCUUCCAUCUUCCUCCUUCUUCAUGCGCCCACUGCUUCUUCCAUCUCCAGCCAGCCACCAUCCCCUUCCAUCCUCCCUCUCUCCUCUCGCCUUCGCCUUCGUCGUCGUCGUCGUUGGUUUUCCUCGACCCCUAACCUUAAUUUAGAUGACCCAUGCGAGGUCUUGAGUCACGUGAGGAAAAUUUGCAGGAAUGGUGGUGUGUUUUCGAGCGUCGGCGAUGCCCAGCGUUGCUUCGCUGCAUUGAUGCAGACGGACCCUUUGCCUUCCCCCCGGGAUUUCAGUCUUCUGUUGGGUGCUGUAGCGAGGAUGAAGCACUACUCGAUUGCCAUCCGCUUGAUUGAGCAGCUGCAUUCGUUAGGAGUGGAAGAUAAUCAUUUUUGGCUGAAUAUUUCGUUGAAUUGCUUCUGCCGGUUAAAGCGGGUCGAUUUGGGUUUGUCUAUCCUGGGCAGAAUCUUGAAGCUUGGGUUUCCCAUCGAUGUGGUGGCAUCGAGUACCUUAAUUGAUGGUCUCUUUAUUCAGGGCAAAACUGAUCAAGCGUUGAGGUUCCUCGAUGAUAUGGGACGAAGUGGCCCCGAACCUAAUGAGACUACGUAUGCCAUAAUCGCAAAGGGGUUAUGCAGGGCUGGUAACACCAGAUUGGCGAUUGAAUCGCUGAGGGACUGGGAAGAGAGAGGCUGCAGCAUCAAUUCCUUCACAUACAACAUAGUGAUUGAUGGUCUUUGCAAGGAGGGAUUGAUCACCGAGGCCUUGAGACUCCAUGAAAGUUUGAGUAGGAACGGCGUCAAACCAGAUGUUGUUACUUAUACCUCCUUGAUCCACAGUAUGUGCGAUGUAGGCCAGAUGGAAGAUGCUCUUGUAUUGUUGAAAGAGAUGAUAAGGGGAGGCAUCCAACCGAACAUAUUCACUUAUAGCUCCUUGGUUCAUUGCUUAUGCAACCGAGGCCAAUGGAAAGAUGCUAUGGUCUUGUUGGAGAAGAUGAUGAAGGCAGGAAUCGAACCGAACGAUGUUACUUAUAACUCUGUCGUUCGAGGAGUUUGCAAUUCCGGCCAUUUGGAAGAGGCUCGAAGACUGCUGAGUCAUAUGGUGCAAAUCAGAGUCAUGCCUAACGUUGUAACCUUCAGUAUCCUGGUGGACACACAUUGUAAAGAGGGGUUGCUUGUAGAGGCAGAGGCCAUAGUUGACCAGAUGAUUCAAUUAGGUAAAAUGCCUAAUAGUGUCACUUAUAAUGCAUUGUUGAAUGGUUAUUGUUUGCAAAAUAGGAUGAAAGAUGCAAUGGAAGUGCUUAAUUUGAUGGUUGAAAGAGGCUGCUCACCUACAGUUGUUACUUAUAGCACAUUGAUUAACGGAUACUGCAAAGCGAAAAGAAUGGACAAGUCAAAGAUGCUUUUCCAAGAAAUGCUUCAAAGGGGCCUCAUUCCUGAUGUCAUCACAUACAGCACUCUCGUGGACGGAUUUUGCAAGGUUGGGAACCUUGAAGCUGCAGAGGAGUUAAUUAAAGAGAUGCAGUCUCGCGAUCUCUCUCUAGAUCAUUAUAUCUUGAGUUCUUUCCUGGAUGGCUUAUGUAAAAUGCAGCAGAUUGACAAGGCCAUGAUAUUACUUCGAAAGAUGGAAGAUUCCAAAUUUGUCCUAGACAUUGUGACUUACAAUAUCCUAAUAAAUGGCAUGUGUGAUGCCGGAAAGCUCGAUGAUGCAAUAGGGCUGUUUGAUUGUUUGCAUGCUCGAGGGUUGCAACCUAACGUGUGGACGUAUAGUAUUGUCAUGAGUGGAUUGUGCAAAGGAGGACGCACAGAGGAAGCAUAUCGGCUGCUAAAGGAGAUGCAAGGAAAUGGAUGCCUUCCAAAUGGUGUCACUUAUAACACAAUCAUCCAAGGACUACUAAGAGAUAACGAAAAUACGAGAGCAGCGCAACUUGUUGGUGAAAUGGUCGAAAUGGGUUUUUCUGCAAAUGUAGGGACGAUGGAGUUGUGGGUUAAAUAUCUCGUGACAACUAGAACUUCUUCCUCUUCUAGUCGAUCUCUCAAUUGUGUUUGAGAUCUGUCCACUUUUUCAUCUGAAAUGUGAUAAAUAGUAAACCAGAUAAAUGGCAAGUUUUCUUUGUCACAUCAUCCCACGGAGUCGCAUGUGCCAUUUAUCAAGUUGUUUUUAAGUCCGGGGGAUUAUUUCUCUUGCUUCAUUAUAAGGCUUUUGGAGGGGUGUAAGGUAGACUCUGUUUGUCGUAUAGCUGGGUAAUGUGGGGAAUUGCUGUAUUUAAGUGGUACACUUACUCGUCAGUUAGUGCUCUGUUGCCUAAUAUUGAUCAAACAGCUGAAAUUCAUGCCAAUGAUCAAGCGGUGCGAGGAUGCUAUUGCAUUAAAUAGAUGUUAAUAGCAGUAACUUUUCAAUGUGCUUAAGUGGUGCAGUUCAGAUGUUAAUAGCAACCACUUUACCGUGUGCUAAAGUUAUGCAAUUUGGACAUUAUGCACAAAUAUCAUGGACCUCUUCCUCACAAUGGAACUAAAGAACAAAUUUUAUAUUUUCCUGGUUGUUAUGUGUGUGCGUUCUGAGAGGUACUGGUUUUCUGUUACUCUUUCGUGGAAGUGGAUGGUAUUUGAUCAUGGUGCUUCUGUUACUCUUUUGUGGAAGUGGAUGGUAUUUGAUCAUGGUGAUGGGCACUUUGAAUCGCUAGCGGAGAAUAUUUGUGGCCUGCAGAGCAUGCAGGUUGGCAUCUCUGGUCAAUUACAGAUUACAUAUCUGGGUUAUCUGCUCUGCUUCAUAAUAGCCAAGUUUGAGGGACUGCUUGCUGGGUAAGGGACAUGGCUGCAACCUGCGAGGGUAUGAAAAAUACUUGCAGUGUCUUUUUUGUUUGCAGUGCAAUGAAUUUUCUGAAAAGCAUUUGAUUUAUGGGUGAACAUCAUAUCAAAUGGUAUGACGUUACAAUUUGCAUCUUGAUUGCCGAUACUGCGUUUUGCUCAGUUCAUCAACUAGCUCUUAAUACAAUAUUCAGAAAGAAAGAUGAUCUGAGAAUGUUAGUCAGGCCUCUCUUUUUGCUAUUCCUUCAAAUGCUACAUCAUUAUUAAUAGUGUACUUUAGCAAAUACACUUGGCUUAACCUCAUUUCCUCAUAUUCAUUACCAACAAAUUUUGCAAAAUAUAGUGCAUAAGAUAUUGUGAAUUGCAAUGCAAACAGAUUUUCGAGCUUUGUAUAAACUCCUUUUGAGGCUGGGUUAAAUAGUAAAGAUUUUCUCAAUUCUUUCCAACUCAAGUUCGUUAGCUCGUGCUCGAAAUCUUCAACUUAAUUAGCCCACACAAUACAUUCAGUAGCGUUGGAAACGUGCAUAUAGCAUCAUCAUUCAAAUUUUGACUUUCAAAUUUAACUCCCAAUCAGACUAAAAUUUCCUUUUGAUAUUUGAGUCAAGUCAGAUCAGCUAAAGAUCAAGCUCAAGAGACCACUUAUCAAAUCGAACUUGAGAUGAGUAUAAUGGACCUCUUCCUAAAAAUGGAACUAAAGAAAAAAAAAUUCUCUUUUCCAGGGUGUUAUGUAUGUGCUUUGAGAGAGAGGGAUACUGUUUUUAUUUAAUUUUCUUUUCCUAACAUGAUCUGAUCCCUUCAAUAUCUUAUUUACCAUAAUUCUUCAAAGAAGAUGUACAGGUUGAAGUGGAUGGUAUAUGAUCAUGGUGAUGGGCACUUUGAAUCCAUAGUGGUGAAUAUGUUUACUCAGAUUACCAUGGCAGAUCAAUUACAUAUCUGGGUUAUUUUCUCUGCUUCUUACAGCGAAGUUUGAGGGACAGCUUGCUGACUAAGGAACAUGGCUGCCCAGUGUAUGAAACAAAUCGCAGUAUCUCUUCCUUUGCACUGCGACGGAUUUUCCAAAAAGCAUCUGUUGAUGCGUGAACAUGAAUGCCGCUGACACAUUGGCAAUGCCAAACCACAUUGACGUCUUGAGUGGCACCAAUCAACUUCAUUAGAAACAGGCCAAUAGGAUGUAACUUUCCUUCGUUCUCUGUAGAGGUACAUUCUUUGCCAACUUUCUGUUUUAAUAACUGCGGAACACAUGUUUCGGUUUGUUUUUGCAUGUUUCACUCACGACUGCAGAAUUUGCCAGGACAAUCUUGUUACGCCCUCUACUCUUUGUUUCUUGACACAAAUAUAAUCAUAGUAGCAUGCAAGCAAAACAAUUGUUUAGUGCGGUGUCUGGAUGUUCGAGUUAAGUGGAUGUUAAUGGUAAUAAAUUUACUUUGUACCACAGAUCUGCAAUGCAGACCAAUAUCACGGACCUAAAGAAAACAAAAGGACUUUAUAUUUUUGUUGGGUUGGGGGGGGGGGGGCGGGUUUCAAAAAAUUAUGUUGUAAAUCCUGAUUAGCUUGUUGCGUAUAUGCUUGGAGAGAGAUACUAGUUUUCUUUGAUACUCUUUUGCUAACACAAUCUGAUCCCUUCAGUCUGUGAUAGUUAGUCUCCAACUUCUAAACUUCUAAACUUUUUCCUAUCCCGCGGCCAAGGACGCUCGAGCUUAUUUGAGUCUCAGCCAAUGCCGUUCCAACUUUUAGGCUUUUUCAAGCUCGGGAACAUGGUCAUAUGAGCUUUGCCGAGCUUGACCGUGACCGCAAGCUUCUUCAAACCCGCAGCCACUUUGAGUUUUGUCGAGCUUGGCCAUGACCGCUGCAGCUUCAAGGCUUCUUUUAACUCACAGCCAUGGCCACUUGAGCUUCGUCAAACCUGGCCAUGGUCGCUUGUGAGUUACUUUGUGAUUGCGGCCAUCAUCGCUCUAGCUUCCAAAGCUUGUUCAAGUUUGCGGCGAUGGCCAAUCGUGUUUUGUGGAAUUUGGCCAUGGUUGCUCUCGCUUCUUCGAAUGUGUGGCCCAGCCGCUUGAGCUCUUUUUGCUGGGAUUUGAACUUGUUUCCAGAACGAGUGCAUGAGAAAUUUAUGCGUUAGAUAUGAAGGAUUCAAGAAUGUUUCUCUUCUUCCAUUUUCUUCUUAGGUCUCUGAUUCUGAGAGCACAGCUCGAGAGAGCUCGCGAUUCUUGAAGCUGCUUCUUGCUGUUCUUAUUCUGCAUUGGGCUCCUACAGAGUCAAACCCCAAAAUAGAUAGAAAAAGGAAAACUUGGUACUUACUUUUUACCGUUUUCAUCAAAUUUUCCUUUUAUCCUUUUUUCAUUUUAAAAUUUCAAGUAUUUUUAUGUGAUGCUUGACGAGCGCCACAUCGAUGCCCUGUGUUCUAAGAAAAUACUAAAAAUAUAUCACAUAAAUAUUUAAUAAAAUACUUAUAAAAUAUCACAUCAAUAUUUUUAUGAACCUAAGAAAAGAGAAUUUGCUUUUUUUUUUUAAAGUAAAAAACACCAAUUUUACUUAAAUUUAAUUACACUUUUUUUUUCCAAGUUUUGAACUUUGAUAAUAAGUCUUAGGAAUUCUGAUGCAAUUAUCCCCGAGAUUAAAAUAUAAGGACAAAGGACAUUGCCAUUUACUCAGCCCAGCUCGACGAGGACCUGAUGAUGACCAAAAUUUACCUUUACAUUAUAUACCAGAUCAGCAUUUUGGCAAGUAUAUGUGAAUAAAGAGUACACAAGAAGUAGAAAGAAGCAAUGUCCCCAGCAACAUCUGCCUUUAUAUGUAUCGGCAACCAGUUCUUUAUCUUAAAAAGCGCCAAAAGAGGCUAACUCUGCAUACCAGUGCAAACUAGGAACCGAAGAACUAGACUAAGGUAAAACAUGAAAACUGGCAACAGGAAAAGAGGACAAUCAAAACUGUGGUAACUGAUGAGAAUACAUUAUGACUUAAAAAGGAACGUUCACCCCUACAAUUGGCGGCGUCACUUCAUUCCCAUCACUAAAAGCCAAACUUCUCAGUAUCUUUUGCCCAAUGCCUAGAGCGAGACAAUUCUCAUUAGGUACAAAAGGAACGAGUAUUAAAUAAACAAGAAGGGAUCGCCAAUAAUCUCCACAAGAGCAUUUGCCAUCCUUAAAGUGAUGGAAUCUCUUGUUGUCUCUAACAAUCAGUUCCCUACCCACAAUCUUGGACAUGAUCUUUAUCGCAUUAUGACAGUCACCACAGAUCCGGAGGUUCUUAAUGAUUCUGAGAGGCGUCCUUGCAGGAGUGCUGAUAAGUCCGUAAGCUAUUGCGAGUCGCUCGCUGUGAUAGAGCAAGGCUUGCUCCUUCGCCUCUUGAUCAAUGUCAUGAAGCACGUAUCUAGUGUCCGGUACAUAACCCCCUUCCUUCCCACUCUUAUAUUUCUCGUCGUCCUUGUAAAGAGUGGGAUUUUUGAACUCGCUAAUUCUGUUUUUCCCCUCGAGCAUGUUGAUCACAGAGCGCCUCUUGGGUGAUGGUGUAGGAAUUUUAUUAGCAGUAGCGAUUGAAGGAUCAAUAGCCAUCAUCAACUCCUCAACAUGGUCUUCAAGAUCAAGAUCACCAUGGAUCCGUGCAUAACUCUUCAGUGCCUCCCAAACCUCCAAUGUGGGCUCAAAUGGUAGCUUUUCAACAUACUCCACGGCUUCUGCAAGAUGCCCAGGUUGACAGAGAACAUCAAUAACCCCUAAAUUAUGCUCAACCCCAGGCUUAAUCCCAUAAUCAUUCUGCAUCGACUCAAAAUGUAUAAAACCUUCUUCUAUGGCUCCUAUGCUGGCACAUGCUGACAAAACUGCAAGGAAAGUCUGUUCAUUUGGCUUCAAACCCAAGUUCCUGAUGUGCUCGUAUAACUCCAACCCAUCAUCCCCUAACCCAUUGUACGCAUACCCAUUUAUCAUCAAAUGCCAUGAGUCAAUACUCUUAUCAAGCAUGUGAUCGAAAACUCUCCGAGCAUCGAUCAUACUGCCACACUUCCCAUACGUUUCAAGCACCUUGUUCUUCAUCUGAAGAUCACCUCUACACGUCGACUGCAAAAAGUAAUCAUGCACCUUCUUCGCAUUCUCAAGAGACUUGGACUUCCCACACGAAUCGAACAACCAACUGAAGCAGUCGGCAUCGGCUUUAACCCCCUCAUUCAUCAACUCUAUAGCUUCUUUAACUUUCCCUCCCUGGCACAACUGUCUCAGAUCAGCAAUCGAAGGCCCCGGAGCAGGAGCUUCCGCCGCCCGAUUCUCCGUCCCUCGCACUACAGUUGCUUGCUGAUGGUUCCACUGAUUAGCACUCGGGUUCUGCGGGGCCCACUGGUUGCGAUUAUCUGGUUGCGGAUACCCUUGAUUUUGGUUGUUCCACUGAUUAGGGCUUCUAGGCUGUUGCUGAUAGUUCUGGUUCGGGGUGUUCACCCCAGCUAGGCUCUGAUACUGACUCUAGCUCUGGUUAUGGGUAUUCCAGUGACCAGGAUUCUGCUGCCGAGGAUAACCCUGCCCCGGAACUUGGUUAUUCCACUGUUCAGGGCUUUACUGCUGCGAAUAAACGGGGGCAGGAUCAGAGUAUCCGCGGCCCGGAUAAUUCUGACCCUGCAUUGGGAUAACUCUGGCCCUGGCCCUGGUUCUGGUAACCAAACCCAUUGUUCCCUUGUGGCGGUGGCAGCAGCAGCGGCGACGGUGAGCUCCACUGACCAGCAUUGAUGUCUCUGUUCUCAGGGCAAAAGUAUUGAUUUUGUUGCCCUGAGCGUUUCCUACAUGUAAUUCGUGUAUUCUUAGGAUCGCCUACGUGAUUCGUGUUCGGUCCAUGAUGAUAUCGAAGUGGUUUUAACUUAUGGGAGCAUGUUUCUCCUUUAGCCACUAUCCUCUGGGCCGUGGCAACUUGCUGUUGUCUUGAAAAAAGUUAGUAUCGCAGGAAGUUCUCUAGAGGGCAAAGUAAGGUAUGUUCGAUAAAAAGAAGAAGUGUGGUACAAAACUUGAAUUCGCUCGUCCUUUUAUUUUUAUCUUCUUUUCGAGAGAUUUGAAUGAGCCAGUAUUUUGUGCAUGAUUGAUUAUUUCCGUCUCUUUUUGGGCGCCAAAGGGUAUGAAUUCGAUCCAAUUUCCAACAUCAGCAAUUUGAAUGAAUCUUUUCGGUCAGGAGAGAGUGCUGCGUAUGGUCGAGGCCCAUGUAUGACAAAACCUGUUCCAGAGUAUGCCAAACCCGAACUGCACUCAAAUGGUGCACAUGUGAUUUCAGGCAAGGCGAGCAUAUGCCCACUUCGAGUGGGGGAAAGAAUAAUGCCAUACAAGUAACACGUGUAUUCUUUGGUUAAUAUUACGAAAAACCCUAAAUCGGUAUGUAUGAGAUAAAUAUAUUUCAAAUUAAUUUUUUGACCACCAAAAAUUGCAACUUGGUAUGCUUUUGAUAAAUUUAUCCAAAAUUACCUCAAAAACCUCAAAGCAAUAUAUUCAUGAUAGAUUUAUCACAAAUUAAUUUAUUUAACAGUCAAAAAUUCCAAACUAGUACAUUUGUGAUAAAUAUAAUUUCUGUUAAAUUGAAUUAAUACUAUAAAACCGACACACUAUAUCAAAUAGAGAGUAAAAUGUUAAACUACUAUACCAAUAAAUUGUCGAGUAUUUUAGACAAAAAAAAAAUUGUUGCAUAUCAUUAAACUCAUCAAUUUAAUAGUAAAAUUAAACUGAAACUAACAGAUGAUAAUUUUAUCAUAAGUGUAUUAAUUUAAGAUAAAUUGUAAAAAAAAAAAAAAAACUUGGCGAGUUUCGUCAAGUUGUGCCGUGUAACUCCAAGUAGUUACUUCAAAGAAGAUGCAUGCGUGGAAGUGGCUGGUACUUGAGGCACUUUGAAUUAAUAGCCAGGAAUAUUGGUGGCUAUCAUCGCAGGUAUAUUACAUAUCUGGGUUAUUUGCUCUUCUUCCUACAUGGCAUAUAAUAGUGAAAUUAUUUGCAUUGCUUCUUGCUAACUAAGCAACAUGGCAGAAAGUGCAUGAAAACUACUUGCAGUAACUUUUCCUUAGCACUGUGAGGGAUUUUCAGAAAAGCCUCUGCUGAUGGGUGCACAGGAAUGCCGUUGACAGACAUUCCCAAUGCCAAACCACGUACAUGUCUUGAGCGACACCAACCAACUUCGUCACAGUCGGGCCCAAAUGAUGUAACUUUCUGUUGUCAUUUCUACUGCAUCAGUUGGUUUACUUUCCAGACCAAUAGGGUUGCCUCUCAACGGAGGCACAUUUCUUGCCCUUUUUAUCUGUUCAAUUACUGAUUUGGGAAAGCAUUUUUCUGUUGUUUUUGCGUGUUUAACUUAAGGCAGCAGGAUUGCCUGGAGAGCCUGC